rnacentral:rRNA from 1 species
AGAGUUUGAUCAUGGCUCAGAUUGAACGCUGGCGGCAGGCCUAACACAUGCAAGUCGAACGGUAACAGGAAGAAGCUUGCUUCUUUGCUGACGAGUGGCGGACGGGUGAGUAAUGUCUGGGAAACUGCCUGAUGGAGGGGGAUAACUACUGGAAACGGUAGCUAAUACCGCAUAACGUCGCAAGACCAAAGAGGGGGACCUUCGGGCCUCUUGCCAUCGGAUGUGCCCAGAUGGGAUUAGCUAGUAGGUGGGGUAACGGCUCACCUAGGCGACGAUCCCUAGCUGGUCUGAGAGGAUGACCAGCCACACUGGAACUGAGACACGGUCCAGACUCCUACGGGAGGCAGCAGUGGGGAAUAUUGCACAAUGGGCGCAAGCCUGAUGCAGCCAUGCCGCGUGUAUGAAGAAGGCCUUCGGGUUGUAAAGUACUUUCAGCGGGGAGGAAGGGAGUAAAGUUAAUACCUUUGCUCAUUGACGUUACCCGCAGAAGAAGCACCGGCUAACUCCGUGCCAGCAGCCGCGGUAAUACGGAGGGUGCAAGUGUUAAUCGGAAUUACUGGGCGUAAAGCGCACGCAGGCGGUUUGUUAAGUCAGAUGUGAAAUCCCCGGGCUCAACCUGGGAACUGCAUCUGAUACUGGCAAGCUUGAGUCUCGUAGAGGGGGGUAGAAUUCCAGGUGUAGCGGUGAAAUGCGUAGAGAUCUGGAGGAAUACCGGUGGCGAAGGCGGCCCCCUGGACGAAGACUGACGCUCAGGUGCGAAAGCGUGGGGAGCAAACAGGAUUAGAUACCCUGGUAGUCCACGCCGUAAACGAUGUCGACUUGGAGGUUGUGCCCUUGAGGCGUGGCUUCCGGAGCUAACGCGUUAAGUCGACCGCCUGGGGAGUACGGCCGCAAGGUUAAAACUCAAAUGAAUUGACGGGGGCCCGCACAAGCGGUGGAGCAUGUGGUUUAAUUCGAUGCAACGCGAAGAACCUUACCUGGUCUUGACAUCCACGGAAGUUUUCAGAGAUGAGAAUGUGCCUUCGGGAACCGUGAGACAGGUGCUGCAUGGCUGUCGUCAGCUCGUGUUGUGAAAUGUUGGGUUAAGUCCCGCAACGAGCGCAACCCUUAUCCUUUGUUGCCAGCGGUCCGGCCGGGAACUCAAAGGAGACUGCCAGUGAUAAACUGGAGGGAGGUGGGGAUGACGUCAAGUCAUCAUGGCCCUUACGACCAGGGCUACACACGUGCUACAAUGGCGCAUACAAAGAGAAGCGACCUCGCGAGAGCAAGCGGACCUCAUAAAGUGCGUCGUAGUCCGGAUUGGAGUCUGCAACUCGACUCCAUGGAGUCGGAAUCGCUAGUAAUCGUGGAUCAGAAUGCCACGGUGAAUACGUUCCCGGGCCUUGUACACACCGCCCGUCACACCAUGGGAGUGGGUUGCAAAAGAAGUAGGUAGCUUAACCUUCGGGAGGGCGCUUACCACUUUGUGAUU